rnacentral:lncRNA from 1 species
UUUUUUUUUUUUUCUUUUUAGGGCUAUACCUGCAGCAUAUGGAAGUCCAUACGCUACGGGUUGAAUCAGAGCCGCAGCUGCUGACCUAUGCCACAGCCAAUGCUGGAUCUGAGCCAGAUCUGUGACCUGCACUGCAGCUUGCAUCAAUGCCUGAUCCUUAACCCAUUGAGGGAGGCCAGGGAUUGAACCCACAUCCUCAUGGACAAUAGGUUGGGUUCUUAACCUGCUGAGCUACAACGGACACUCCACUUAGGUGCAUUCUUGAUGGGAAGGUAGAAUGGUGGUUCUCUAAAAAAAUUAGACAUAUAAUUACCACAAGAUCCACCAAUUCCAUCUUUUUUUAAAAAAUCAUUUAGGGCCGCAUUUGAAUAAGAGGUAGGAAGCAACCCCUCAAGUGUCCGUGGAAGGAUCAACAGAAAAGCAAUACAGAGCAUAUACAUACAAGGUCAUGUUCAGCCUUAAAAAGGACAUUCUGCCACCUGCUGUGACAUGAAGCUUGAGGACAUUAUGCUCAGUGAAAUAAGCCUGUCACAAAAAGAGAAAUGCCAUUAUGACUCCACUUAUAUGGGGUCCCUAGAGGAAUCAUAUUCAGAGAAAUAGAGUAGUAGAAUGGAGAUUGUUAUGGGCUGGGGGAGGAGAGGGAGUUGUUUAAUGGGGACAGUUUCAGUUGGGGGAGAUGGAAAGUUCUGGAGAUGGACGGUGGUGACGGUUGCACAACAAUGUGAAUGGACUUAAUGCCCUUGAGCUGUACACUUAAAAAUGGUUAAAAUAGUAAAUUGCAUGUUAUGUAUAUAUUGCCCUCCCUCCCCCUGGCUCUCCUUCAAUGGAGCAUCUGCAGCCAGCCCUGGGCUGACAAGUCUCGGAGAAAACCACAGAGGCCCUUCAAGGAAAGAGGGCCGUCCUCUGGGUACAGCCCCUCAGUGAGGGGGUAACAAAUGGAGCCCGCCGAGUCUAAACGUGGCCCCACUGCGAUGGAGGGGGGUACUUCCUCAGUUCUCUAGAGUGAUGACAGGACUGAAGAUGAGGCUGAAGGCACCAGCCUCAGGCCUGGCCAAGAGCCCCACUUUUGUCCUUUGGCUGACAGAACAAAAAGAACCUGUCCCCCUCCCACCCUGCACCCCACAUCGAUGUUGGUGACCCCAGCCUUGACCCCCGUGAGGUGGUGCCCUGCCACCCAACCUCCAAUCAGCACCCUGGGGCUCCAAGAGGCUGGCCAGCAGGAGCUGGCCCCCUGCCCACCAGACCCCAGUGCCCUCAACAAACCACGAAACCAACAUUAACACUGGGGGUUCAGCCCAGGGUGACAGGGAAAUGACUGGUGGCCCUUUUAGGAGAGAACUCAGGAAGCUUGAGCUAGGCUUUGUCUCUAAAGGUCACAAGCUACUCUGUGCCAGAUCCGCAGCAAAGAGCUGGGACCCACAGGCGAGUCACAGUGGCCCAAGACUGUCUUGAGGAUUCCUGGCUGCUCAUGGGACAGAGGCUGACAGGGUAGGGGUUGUGGUAGAGAAGCUCACAGCCCUCACCUGCACCCUGCCCUGAAAAUGUUGCCCAUCUGUCAGGCAGAGGCUGGUGGCUCCCAGGCUGCACCCCACCCAGGGCCAGGGGUCCUGCUGGCCUCUUAUGUCACAUCUGACAGCUAGGCUCCCUCUUUGGGGCCCAGGCUGGGGCAGCACAGCCUAUCAGACUGGGCCAGGUGAGACAUGCCUGGCUCUGCCUGGCAAACGGACUCCAGGGCUCCCUCUUUCUGCCCCAAUGGGGGACUCCUCCGGGGACCGCCCCCCUCCCCAGCCCCAGCAGGUUUUAACCCAGAGUUCCUGCAGCUAAUUCACUGCUACUGCCACGUGCACCCCACCCACCAUGCCUGCCUGAGAAACCAGGGCCUCUGUCAUUGCUGUUGGCCAAACUCCCUCUUCUUGCGGGUGGGGAGGGAGGCAGGGAGCCCCAAGGACCAGCUGUCUGAGGGGUCUGGCCUUUCACACCAUGACGGCUGCCUGCAAAGUCUGGAGCCUUUUGGGUGGGCAGGGGGCUGAGGGCUUGGCUCCAGCUGCCCCUCUUCCCUUCCUGCAACGACAGCCAAUUUUCCACAAACACACAUUUCCCUCAUGUCCUGGCCUGGGAGGGAAGUGGCAGCGAUGAAGGGGUGGCCGGGCCCUGGAGUGGAAAAAUCACUCAGCUCCUGAAGGGGGCUGGCGGGAAGGAAUUUCAAACGGGAGGAAAUGUCUUAAAGUGCCAAGCACUUGUAAGGGAAAAAGGGCUUCUUGUUCCAGGAUAUUUGAGUCACCGCUGCACAAGCUGCAGCCAGGAGUGUGUGUGGCCAUGAGAGCCUGGGUGCCUUGUGCAGCCCAGGGUCAGCCCUGGGAGUGGGCCCGUGUCCCUGAGGUCCAGCCCCAGCCCGAGGCCGCUACUCUGUGGGUUGGGGGAUAGCCUGUGGCUGGCAUGACAUGGAACAGGUGUCACAGAGAAGGCCUCCAAACCAGAGAUGGAGCCAUGCCAUGCUCCCAGUCAGCUCUGCCCCUGGUGGUGGGUGGAUAUGGCAGGCGUGGGGGUGGGAGGAGCUGGGAGCUGGGUGGAGACCCAGUGGUCAUCCGACCCAGCUGUGUGUACCAUCUGUGUCCAGGACGCUGGUAGAGAUGCUUAUCCUAACUUGGGGGACAUGUAUGUGCUGGUUCAAGGCCGUGGCCCUGACUGCCAGAGCCUGGUCCCCAUGGGAUCCCCUAUGUGGAAACUAUGGCUGAGUGUGUCCCUGGGGCAUGGCUGGCCUGUGUGUCCCCAGCCAGGACCCUUCAGAGGCCCCACCUGGGCCUGGGGGCAGAGUGCCAGCCCCUCCACAUGCCCACCAUCCUCUCCCUGGAGAAGUCAAGGCUCUGUCAAUCAGAAAACACUCCCGCCUGACCCUCCAAGCCAAUCCUGUCUCUUGGGCACACCUAUUGGCACCUGGAACCUGGAAAUCCAGAGGGCCGCCAGCUGGCCCGAUCCCUAGCCGAGUGGUGCAGCCGUAGCGAGGAGGUUUCAGCCAGGCCCUGCCCACAGCUCCCUGGCCAGCUCCUGGGCCACAUAAGUAUUACAGUUUUAUGGAGAAAGAAUGGAAGGAAGGUAAGUAUUUUAAAAAGUUUUCAAGCCUAGCACUAAAUUUUCCACAAUCCCAAGCCUCCUUUUUGCUGCCCGUGGGACUGAGGCUCUGCCAGGAUGCUGCCUGUGUCCUGGGGCAGGGCCGGUAGCCCAUCCUGUACACUGUCCUUUGCUGGAAUGAUAACUGCUGGGCCGAUGCAGCCAGGGGUAAGUGCGGGACAAACGGGGCUCCAGGGCGAUCGGGUCUGCUGCCUGAGCCCAGUGACCCUCGGCAAGUCCCUUGACCUCUCUGGGCUUCUGCUUCCCCAUGGGAAUCAGAAUAGUGGAGGCACCUCAUGGUGUACCUGGGGUGGUGCCUGUCCCAGGCCCACUGGUCCUUGCCAAGCCCAGAGCCAGCAGAGUGACUGGGUGUACCCGAACUGGGGCAUGUGUGGAGGGACCCUGACCUGAUGUCACCUGGAGAAAAUCCAAAUGUGGCCUGUCCCAUGGAUGGCGGUCACCAUCCUGGGGGCCAAGGCCCUCAUGUUGCCCCCAUGAACUCGAGGCAGGCUGCCAGUACUGCCUGAUGGAGGUGCCAGAUGCCAAGGUCCUCCCACACCUGGGCUGCUGUCAGGUAUGGCUGGGUGGCCGGGCAGGGAGGGCCAGGGGCUGGGAUCCCACGCUAGUGCCCUGCAGACUGCACAGAGUGAGGGCUCAGUUAAAACCUACUAAACAGAUACAAACUGUUACAUUUGGAAUGGAUGGGAAGUGGGCCCCUACUGUACAGCCAAGGGAACUGUUAUGUGAUUGAGUCACUCUGCUGUACAACACAAAUUGAAGAAAUACUGUAAAUCAACUAUACUCUAAUAAAAAAUUUAAUUUAAAAAAACCCUCUGCUAACCGAGUUUACAAACACUCAAAGGGGGUCCCUGCACAGAGCCUGGGCUGGUCAAGGCGGGGGUUUUCUGUGAGACAUCAGCAGGCAACAGCUGCUGGCCCACAAGGGCUGGGCUCCCAGGCCAGCUGACUGUGCGGUCAGGAGCUCACAGCUGGGGCGGGUAGGGGGAGACCAGUGACCAAUUGCCACACAGGCCACCCACCCCCAGGCUCUGUGGUAACACAAUGACCCUCUGAAGGGCAUUUCCUCUGCAAAUGACCCGGAACAGCUCAUGUGGUGUUCUGGGGCGCUGUUCUGUACAAGGCCCGCUGAUCCAGCGAGCCACACCACCCCAUCUCUGACCCAUGAUGGAGACUGUGCUAGGUUGGCUCCCUUGCAACUCUGACAUGGCCCCUCUGCAGCUGCAACCACCUCAGGCUGCCUCUGAUCUGGCCAGCAGAUAGACAAGUGACCAAAGCCAGCAAGGCUCAGGCUGGGGGAGGGUGAAAGGGAUGGAAGGGGCUCACUCAGCAUGAGUGAGCACAAACACUCCCCCCACCCCCCCUACCCCGCCUCUGAGUGAGGUUCCCUGGCCUGUGGGGGCAGGUACUGCACUGUGAGGGGCCUCGGUCACUGGCUGUCAGCCUCUGCUUCUCAAAUCUUCUGUGCCUCUGAUGGGCAAAGAGGGGCCCAGGAGGUUAGAGGGGCCCAUGCAGCCCAGGCGCCCUAACAGUCACACUCUGGGCCUCAGCUGGCCUGGUAGGCAUUCCGUCCCUGGGCUGAGCCCUGCCUGAUGCCCACUGGGCCCCCUUUCAACCUGAUGCUUGAGGUUGGGGUCUGCUCCUGCUGGGGCCCAGCAACCCCCCGCCCCCAAUCUCCCGGCCGGCCUCUGACCCACUUGGCUGAAAUGUGACCGCCUCCGACUUGAUAAAAAGGUGUUUUCCUCUGGGCACUUUGCCAGCGGAGCUUCCAGGAAAGCGGAGUGAACCUCUCCUUACAGGCCUGGGAUUCCGAACUGCAGGCGAUGGACAGUUUCAGAGCAGGACCUGGUAGGCCCUGAACUUCGGCAGGGUUCAGCCAGUGGGCCAACCAGUAGCCUCCUGUCUGGACUUGUCUAAGCAAAACGAAGUGCCCAGACCUGCUUGCCAAGGGAACAGGGCGAGGCCCUGGAGGGGGAGGAGCACCAUGACUGGGGAUCAAGGCUGCGGUGCCCCAGGCAGGGGGGAGCCCAUCUGCUCCCCAGCUUUGUGCCUGCCUGGGCCCCUCCUCACAGGUGACAUCAGAAACCACUAAGCCCCUGGGAGACCAUCUGCCCUGCCUCUGCCGACCCUCUCCUCCGUGGAGAGCGAAACAUCAGACCCAAUGGCUUGGCUGUUUCUUGUGGGCAGUCACUCACCCAGCUGGGCCCUGAGGAGGGAGGGUAGGUGGUCACUUGGGGCCUCCUCUGGGACCCUGUACCACUUCGGGCUGCUGCGAAAGCCCGUCCCUUAAGAAGCCGCAUUACCCUCCAGCCAGGGCAGGCAGUGUUGCGAGUGCAAACCUUACACCCGGGUGAUGCCUGGCUCUCCCUUCCUAGGGGACCCUGCCUGCUCCCUGUCACUGGGGAGGGGUCAACAGGAAACUCUGGAGCCACAGGCUGAGUAUGAAUCC